rnacentral:rRNA from 1 species
AACGCGAAGAACCUUACCUGGGCUUGAACCGCACAGGACCAGCUCCAGAAAUGGGGCCUUCCCGCAAGGGGCCGCAAUAUAGGUGCUGCAUGGCUGUCGUCAGCUCGUGUCGUGAGAUGUUGGGUUAAGUCCCGCAACGAGCGCAACCCUUAUCUCCAGUUGCUACCAUUUAGUUGAGCACUCUGGCGAAACCGCCUCGGAUAACGGGGAGGAAGGUGGGGAUGACGUCAAGUCCUCAUGGCCUUUAUGUCCAGGGCUACACACGUGCUACAAUGGCCGGUACAAACCGUCGCAAACCCGCGAGGGGGAGCUAAUCGGAAAAAGCCGGCCUCAGUUCGGAUCGCAGUCUGCAACUCGACUGCGUGAAGCUGGAAUCGCUAGUAAUCGCGGAUCAGAACGCCGCGGUGAAUACGUUCCCGGGCCUUGUACACACCGAUAGC